rnacentral:lncRNA from 1 species
AGAAGUACACAUUUCUCCCAUCGUGUCCUAACAAAGGUUCACUGUUUUGAUUUCAAGGUCAUAUAUAUGCACUUUCACCAGGAUAGUUUCCUAAACCUAAAGGUCAAAGGUCACUAGAGCUAUGGCCCCCUUCAUAGCAUCUCCACAANAGUCGAGUAAUCAACUAGGUGUGGAAACACACAUGAAGAGAACAGACUCUAGCUGGAGUUCUCACGAUAGCCAAA